rnacentral:rRNA from 1 species
UACGUAGGUGGCAAGCGUUGUCCGGAAUUACUGGGCGUAAAGCGUGCGCAGGCGGUUCGCCAAGUCAGGGGUGAAAUCCCCGGGCUUAACCUGGGAAUUGCGCUUGAAACUAGCGGGCUUGAGUGCGGCAGAGGGGGGUGGAAUUCCACGUGUAGCAGUGAAAUGCGUAGAGAUGUGGAGGAACACCGAUGGCGAAGGCAGCCCCCUGGGUCGACACUGACGCUCAUGCACGAAAGCGUGGGGAGCAAACAGG